rnacentral:rRNA from 1 species
AGUGAACGCUGGCGGUAGGCCUAACACAUGCAAGUCGAACGGCAGCACAGUAAGAGCUUGCUCUUACGGGUGGCGACUGGCGGACGGGGCAGGAAUACAUCGGAAUCUACUUUUUCGUGGGUGAUAACGUAGGGAAACUUACGCUAAUACCGCAUACGACCUACGGGUGAAAGCAUGGGAUCUUCGGACCUUGCGCGAUUGAAUGAGCCGAUGUCGGAUUAGCUAGUUGGCGGGGUAAAGGCCCACCAAGGCGACGAUCCGUAGCUGGUCUGAGAGGAUGAUCAGCCACACUGGAACUGAGACACGGUCCAGACUCCUACGGGAGGCAGCAGUGGGGAAUAUUGGACAAUGGGCGCAAGCCUGAUCCAGCCAUACCGCGUGGGUGAAGAAGGCCUUCGGGUUGUAAAGCCCUUUUGUUGGGAAAGAAAAGCAGCAGGUUAAUACCCCGCUGUUCUGACGGUACCCAAAGAAUAAGCACCGGCUAACUUCGUG